ACGGGUGAGUAAUGUCUGGGAAACUGCCCGACGGAGGGGGAUAACUACUGGAAACGGUAGCUAAUACCGCAUAACGUCUUCGGACCAAAGUGGGGGACCUUCGGGCCUCACACCAUCGGAUGUGCCCAGAUGGGAUUAGCUAGUAGGUGGGGUAACGGCUCACCUAGGCGACGAUCCCUAGCUGGUCUGAGAGGAUGACCAGCCACACUGGAACUGAGACACGGUCCAGACUCCUACGGGAGGCAGCAGUGGGGAAUAUUGCACAAUGGGCGCAAGCCUGAUGCAGCCAUGCCGCGUGUAUGAAGAAGGCCUUCGGGUUGUAAAGUACUUUCAGUGGGGAGGAAGGCGAUGGAGUUAAUAGCUUCGUCGAUUGACGUUACCCGCAGAAGAAGCACCGGCUAACUCCGUGCCAGCAGCCGCGGUAAUACGGAGGGUGCAAGCGUUAAUCGGAAUUACUGGGCGUAAAGCGCACGCAGGCGGUCUGUCAAGUCGGAUGUGAAAUCCCCGGGCUCAACCUGGGAACUGCAUUCGAAACCGGCAGGCUAGAGUCUUGUAGAGGGGGGUAGAAUUCCAGGUGUAGCGG
rnacentral:rRNA from 1 species